UCCAAUUUUACGGCGAUUCAUAGCAUGCUUUUAAAUUGCGCGUUUCGUGUAAUUGAAUAUGUUUUAAUUGUGUCGAACAUAGAUGCAUUCUACCUUAGGUACUUAAUGCUACAAAGGCCAGAGAGUAAAGAUGUCAAAUUAUGGUGGUACCAUGACUGCUGUAUCUCAGGACGUACCAUCAAGUUCAACUUUGGCUAGAAAAUGUCAUGGAACCACAAAAAUGGAGCUGGAAAAAUACUAGCUACGGACUAUCUCCUGUCACUGUCUUUAAACCUUCCGCUACACCAAAAUUCUGAAGUUAAUCUCCUGGGUGUAAAAAAAAAUGCUGUCGUGGCGCGUGUAGAUGCAAGAAAAGUGGGUUGAAAUGUUCAAUAAUGUGCCUCGAGUGCAACAAUUCACGCGACAAUAGCCCUAAAGAUAUCGUCGAAGAUUUGGAUGAAGAAGAUCGACAAGCAGAGGAUGAGAUUAUUUUGGGGAAAUCACGUAAAUUUGAUGGUCCAACGUUUCCUAAGUCUGAAAACACGGAAAAAUUGUCAGAUUAGUCGCUCCUAAACUUCCUUUUUGUCUUCCUUCAACAAUGGAUCAUCAAUAUACUUUCAAAACGGGAAACCAAUUAAACCUUUUUCGCGCAUGAACCUAGCUGUGGGCCCUCAGCUGCAGUUAAACGGGAAAGAGUAGAUAAUUUAAACUUUUUUUUAAAAUAAUUUAAUUUAAUUUAGUAGUAAAAGUAUAUUUGUUAAAUAUG